rnacentral:rRNA from 1 species
UGCCAGCAGCCGCGGUAACACGGGGGGCGCAAGCGUUAUUCGGAAUUAUUGGGCGUAAAGCGCACGCAGGCGGUUUGUUAAGCUAGAUGUGAAAGCCCCGGGCUUAACCUGGGAUGGUCACUUGAAACAGCAAGACUUGAGUACUGGAGAGGAAAGCGGAAUUCCUGGUGUAGAGGUGAAAUUCGUAGAUAUCAGGAGGAACACCGAUGGCGAAGGCAGCUUUCUGGACAGAUACUGACGCUGAGGCGCGAAGGCGUGGGUAGCGAACGGGAUUAGAUA